UGCGUGGCGGAGGCUACACAUGCAGUCGAGCGGUACAGAGAGAAGCUUACUUCUUUGCUGACGAGCGGCGGACGGGUGAGUAACGCGUAGGAAUCUACCUAUUAGUGGGGGAUAAGCCAGAGAAAUUUGGUCUAAUACCGCAUACGCCCUACGGGGGAAAGGAGGGGAUCUUCGGACCUUUCGCUAUUAGAUGAGCCUGCGUAAGAUUAGCUAGUUGGUGAGGUAAUGGCUCACCAAGGCGACGAUCUUUAGCUGGUCUGAGAGGAUGAUCAGCCACACUGGGACUGAGACACGGCCCAGACUCCUACGGGAGGCAGCAGUGGGGAAUAUUGGACAAUGGGGGGAACCCUGAUCCAGCCAUGCCGCGUGUGUGAAGAAGGCCUUCGGGUUGUAAAGCACUUUCAGAUGUGAGGAAAGGUGAGUAGUUAAUACCUGCUUACUGUGACGUUAGCAUCAGAAGAAGGACCGGCUAACUCCGUGCCAGCAGCCGCGGUAAUACGGAGGGUCCGAGCGUUAAUCGGAAUUACUGGGCGUAAGCGCGCGUAAGUGGUUUUGCAGGCAGAUGUGAAGCCCAGGCUCAACUUGGAACGCACUGAUACUGCAGAAUUGAGUACCUACGAGGCGAGUGAAUUCCGGUGUGCGGGGAAUGCGUAACAUCGA
rnacentral:rRNA from 1 species